GGCCUGGUGGUGUAGUGGUAACACAGCUGCUCUAUCUGUCAUUUAUCCAUACAAUGUACAGCAGGAGAUUCCUUGUUCGAAUCAAGGUCAGGCCA